UCUCCGUAGGUGAACCUGCGGAGGGAUCAUUACAGAGUUUUUGCCCGCAUGGGUAGAUCUCCCACCCUAUGUUAUUCCUUCUCUGUUGCUUUGGCGGGCCGUCCGGCCUCGGUCAGGCCACCGGCUCCGGCUGGUGCGCGCCCGCCAGAGGACCCCAAACCCUAAACGUCAGUGUCGUCUGAGUACUAUAUAAUAGUUAAAACUUUCAACAACGGAUCUCUUGGUUCUG
rnacentral:misc_RNA from 1 species